AAUAAUCAGAGUUUUUCAACAUAAACGGAAUGUCACAUUCUUUUCUUAAAAUCAUAAACUGAAUAAAUAACUAUUUAUCCUUUAAAAUUCAAAUACAAGAUCUUUAAUACUUCGCAGCGGAAUUUAUUUCAAUAACUAAAACAGUCCUUGGCACGAAGGCCUCUUCAUAAAUGUCUCAUAAAAAUCCAAUCUAAAAUAUAGUCAUAAAUCUUCAAAAACAAUACGUAAGGAAUAGAAAAGCAAUAACAAAGUUCCCGUCCCGUUACGUAUCAGAGCACCUAAGACACACGAGAAAGAAAGCUCACACGACAUCAACUAUUCUUGGUUACCUGUUAGUUACCCAUGGUGGGCAAACAGAAGGGGUGAGAUUUCACAAACAAUAAUAUUAAGCAUAUAAUUCAUCAAUUACAUUUAACAACAUAAGCAUCAUCAAUCAUACUUAACAACUCAUAGACAACAUCAUGUAAUCAUCAUAAUAUUCAUCAUAGAUAAUAAUAUAUCAUAAUUCACUUCUUUAAUAAUUCAUAUAAAGAAUCACAGCUUUAAACAAUUUCAUGAUUUAACAACUUAACAACUCGACAACUUGACAACUUAACCUCUUGACUAUGCAACUUAAUCUUCUAAUCAUGCAUGUGGUACCAAUACGGGGCAUCAAGUCCCAAUCGCUAUUUGAGUAUUAUUAUACUAUCGGAGCAUCAAGCCCCAAUCGCUAUUUGAGUAUUAUUAUACUUCCGGAGCAUCAAGCCCCAAUCGCUGAAUGCUAAUGCAUGGACUCGACCUCUUAAACAUCUUAAUCGACAACCUCUUAUAUAAUCCAAUAAUUUGGAACUUCAUCAUCUUAAUCAACUUAGACCGACUCAUGCAGCUUAGUUAAAUAACAACAGCAACACAACAGUAUACAAAAACAGCAUGACAUAAUAAUAUCAAAUGCAAGUCAACAACGUCUCAAUUAUUCACAUAUAAUUCAAGUAAUGCAUAUACAAUUAUAUCACAGUAUAACAACAUCAAAUAAUAAUCAACAUCUUAAAACAUCAUAUAUACAUAUAACACUUCAUCAAUCAUGGACAAUAUCAUAUUCACAAACAUACACAUACAUAUACUAAUUCAUCAAUCAUAAUCAAUUAUUCAGUGUGACCUACGUUCAGUAAUUUGACCAUAACUCAAGUUCUAUAAAUCAUUUUGAAGUCAAAUCAACGGCACUAGAAAGCUAACAUCCAUACCUACAACUUUCGUGUUUAUACCUAAGACCAAUUAUGUACCAAUCAAUACCAGUUUUCAUUUCAAUUCGGACAAAGUUGUGCUGAAAUUCAUAAAAAUUCACUGUGACCUACGUGCAGUAAUUUGACCAUAACUCAUAAACCGAAAAUCAUUUUCAAGUGAAACUGACACCACUGGAAAGCUAACACAAUUAUCUACAACUUUCAUGUUUACACUAAAGGCUAAUUCAAAACAGAAACGUGUGAAAAAGACGCAAGAACAUGAAACAGGACAUGCUGUCAGAGAGCAACUCGGGAAAAACACACUUUUCACCCCAAAAUCCCAAUUUUAACUUCCCUAUGCCCAAAUUUGAUCCCAAAGUUUGUCUAAACAUUUAUAUACAUCAAAAGAGACUCGAAACCAUAUAAAAUUUGACCCAAAACAUUAUUUUAGAAAAUCAUCAAAUAAUCACUUUUAACCCUAAUUUCCAAAUUCUCAAAAACUAAAACCUACAACAUGUUAAAUCCAAUUUUCAGAAUCAAUGACUUAAGGUUAUUGAAUGUUAGUCCCACCCUUACCUUAUAGAUGAAAAUCGCAGCACUCCUAGGUCUUCCCCCUCCUCUCGGCUUUUUCUCCCUUUUCUCCAAAAUUGAUCGUACGUUAUGUUUUUUCUAAACUAGGUUUCUCCUAUUUAUAACCCUUUUUCUAUUUUAUCUUAUUUCUCUUUCUCCCCC
rnacentral:lncRNA from 1 species